AAUAUCCCCCCUCCCCUAGUCAAAUAUCCCCCCUCCCCUAGUCAAAUAUCCCCCCUCCCCUAGUCAAAUAUCACCCCUCCCCUAGUCAAAUAUCACCCCUCCCCUAGUCAAAUAUCCCCCUCCCCUAGUCAAAUAUCCCCCCUCCCCUAGUCAAAUAUCACCCCGUCCCCUAGUCAAAUAUCCCCCCUCCCUAUAAAAUAUCUCCCCUCCCCUAGUCAAAUAUCACCCCUCCCCUAGUCAAAUAUCACCCCUCCCCUAGUCAAAUAUCCCCCCUCCCCUAGUCAAAUAUCCCCCCUCCCCUAGUCAAAUAUCACCCCGUCCCCUAGUCAAAUAUCACCCCACCCCUAGUCAAAUAUCACCCCUCCCCUAGUCAAAUAUCACCCUCCCCUAGUCAAAUAUCACCCCUCCCCUAGUCAAAUAUCCCCCCUCCCCUAGUCAAAUAUCCCCCCUCCCCUAGUCAAAUAUCCCCCCUCCCCUAGUCAAAUAUCAACCUGCACUAGUCAAAUAUCCCCCCUCCCCUAGUCAAAUAUCACCCCUCCCCUAGUCAAAUAUCACCCCUCCCCUAGUCAAAUAUCACCCCUCCCCUAGUCAAAUAUCACCCCUCCCCUCGUCAAAUAUCAACCUGCACUAGUCAAAUAUCCCCCCUCCCCUAUGAAAUAUCCCCCCUCCCCUAGUCAAAUAUCCCCCCUCCCCUAGUCAAAUAUCACCCCACCCCUAGUCAAAUAUC
rnacentral:lncRNA from 1 species